UACGUAGGGUGCAAGCGUUAAUCGGAAUUACUGGGCGUAAAGCGUGCGCAGGCGGUUAUGCAAGACAGGUGUGAAAUCCCCGGGCUCAACCUGGGAACUGCAUUUGUGACUGCAUGGCUGGAGUGCGGCAGAGGGGGAUGGAAUUCCGCGUGUAGCAGUGAAAUGCGUAGAUAUGCGGAGGAACACCGAUGGCGAAGGCAAUCCCCUGGGCCUGCACUGACGCUCAUGCACGAAAGCGUGGGGAGCAAACAGG
rnacentral:rRNA from 1 species